GCGUAGCUAGGAUUUUUAAGACUUUCAAGGCAUUUUUCGCUGUAUUUUAGAAAAUGUCUCAUAUAUUUACUGUAUUUUUGGCUGCUAAAAGGGGGGGCCGGGCACCCCAGGCCACCCCCUGGCUACGCCCCUGCCAAAAGAAUUCUGCUUUAUCGUUUAUUUGUUUUUGGCUUCAAAAUAGUUAAAACCGGAAAUACAGUUUAAUUUAAUUUCCGGUAAUCUAGCCCAGUCCCUUCUCUUGAAACUUUAGGAGCGUGAGAGCUAGAGGACUGAAACCGACAAAGUCCGCCAUUUUUAGCUAAACAACAAGGAAGGAGCAUGUUUGUCGGAUUUACUGGGCGCUUGUUCGCCAAUUAUCAGCAGUUUGGGCUUGCACAGUCCCUGUUAAUGAUAAGGACUUAUCGGAUACGGUCUGCGUUGAAGCUAAAGUGCGCUGGCUGUAAGUUUGUGAAGAGGAAAGGCAAGUUAAGAGUCGUGUGCAAGAAUAAGGGGACACACAAACAAAAGCAAUCUUAGUAAAACAUCAAAGAGAAUAUAACGGAGAUAAAUGUUGACCUUUCUGGCUCCUGAAAGUACCAUAUCUUGGCACUGUCGUGAUUAUUUGACCAAGAAGUUUAUCUAUACUCAGUACCCUACCUGUGAUUAAGAAUAUCACUGCAGGAGCCACAAGAGCUACAAGUACCACAACAAUAUCUUGGCACUUGUUGAAGAGGUGGUUAUGUGACCAGGAAAGUUAUCUGUAUACUUGAACUCAACUUUCUACUUGCCAUAGACUAUGCCACAAAACAGUCUACUUUAUCUACAAAAUGUAGAUAUAUGCAAGCAUCAAGUUGAGACCUUUUUUGAAAAUGAUGUUUUUGUUGCUUUUCUGAUGUUUUCUUUCUUGACAUUUUUCAAGUGGUAAUGACAUCAGAACACUGUUGUAACAUUGCAACAUUUUUUUCUCACUCGCCAAAGUUUAUUUCAUAUGUUUGAUCAUUUAUCUAAUAAUUCAGGGCUUAAAAUCUUUUUUUCAAAUCUGCUGGAUUUUGCUGGCUUUGAGGAUUUUGUUGGAAAAAAAAGCCUGCAUACUAAAAAUAUGAGAAGGGGAUACAGACAAAAAUUUAGGGCUUAAAAUCUUUUUUAAAUCUGCUAGAUUUUGCUGGCUUUUAGGAUUUUGUUUUUAAAAAAAAGCCUGCAUACUAAAAAUAUGGGAAGGGGAUACAGAAAAAAAGAGCUAGCAAAGACAAGAAAAACAGCUGGCUAUCGCCGGCAGCUGGCCGAUUUUUUUAACCCUGCCAUUAACAAAUUAUGCUGAAUCACUCAAAGCAUCUAUUUCUGUCAGCUAACAUUCAAGUGACAAGUAACACAUACAUCAAAAGUAGAUGUAUAAUUGAAUGAACUCUGGGUUCUCUUAGUGACACGCCAUGAGGUGAGGGGUACUUAGCCUCUGUUGGCGGGUUUCGGUGACCUUGACCCUGUUUAGGAAAAAAAAAUCUGAAAAAUACAACACCCCGAAUUUUCAUCAAAAUAUGUAAAUAAAAAAGCCUUUUUCCAAAAUCACUCGAGACGUCUGCAGAGGAGGUUAAGGGGGGGAACAACCACACACCUACUGGUCAUUACCUUAUAAUUUUUUAGAAUAUUGGGGGGGGGGGCACAUGCUCUCAGUGGCUUACCCCUUGCUGCGGCCCUGUUAUAGCAAAUAAGUCUUGAAUAGCAAAUAACUAGUAAUCUUUACUGUGACUUCAGCAUCAUUAUAUACAUGUGUAUUCAAACAACUAAUCUUAUCCAAUAAAUAAGAAUAAACAAUCAACAAAUAAUUGA